GACGAACGCUGGCGGCGUGCCUAAUACAUGCAAGUAGAACGCACAGUUUAUACCGUAGCUUGCUACACCAUAAACUGUGAGUUGCGAACGGGUGAGUAACGCGUAGGUAACCUGCCUGGUAGCGGGGGAUAACUAUUGGAAACGAUAGCUAAUACCGCAUAAUAUUGAUUAUUGCAUGAUAAUUAAUUGAAAGGUGCAAUUGCAUCACUACCAGAUGGACCUGCGUUGUAUUAGCUAGUAGGUGAGGUAACGGCUCACCUAGGCGACGAUACAUAGCCGACCUGAGAGGGUGAUCGGCCACACUGGGACUGAGACACGGCCCAGACUCCUACGGGAGGCAGCAGUAGGGAAUCUUCGGCAAUGGACGAAAGUCUGACCGAGCAACGCCGCGUGAGUGAAGAAGGUUUUCGGAUCGUAAAGCUCUGUUGUAAGAGAAGAACGGGUGUGAGAGUGGAAAGUUCACACUGUGACGGUAUCUUACCAGAAAGGGACGGCUAACUACGUG
rnacentral:rRNA from 1 species